UACGUAGGAGGCAAGCGUUGUCCGGAAUUAUUGGGCGUAAAGGGCGCGUAGGCGGCCACGCACGUCCGUUGUGAAAUCGCCCGGCUCAACUGGGCGGGGUCAGCGGAUACGGUGUGGCUCGAGCAAGCUAGGGGGCAAUGGAAUUCCCGGUGUAGUGGUGGAAUGCGUAGAUAUCGGGAGGAACACCAGUGGCGAAGGCGGUUGCCUGGAGCUUUGCUGACGCUGAGGCGCGAAAGCGUGGGGAGCGAUCCGG
rnacentral:rRNA from 1 species